CCUACGGGAGGCAGCAGUAGGGAAUCUUCCACAAUGGGCGAAAGCCUGAUGGAGCAACGCCGCGUGGGUGAAGAAGGUCUUCGGAUCGUAAAACCCUGUUGUUAGAGAAGAAAGUGCGUGAGAGUAACUGUUCACGUUUCGACGGUAUCUAACCAGAAAGCCACGGCUAACUACGUGCCAGCAGCCGCGGUAAUACGUAGGUGGCAAGCGUUAUCCGGAUUUAUUGGGCGUAAAGGGAACGCAGGCGGUCUUUUAAGUCUGAUGGGAAAGCCUUCGGCUUAACCGGAGUAGUGCAUUGGAAACUGGGAGACUUGAGUGCAGGAGAGGAGAGUGGAACUCCAUGUGUAGCGGUGAAAUGCGUAGAUAUAUGGAAGAACACCAGUGGCGAAAGCGGCUCUCUGGUCUGUAACUGACGCUGAGGUUCGAAAGCGUGGGUAGCAAACAGGAUUAGAUACCCCAGUAGUC
rnacentral:rRNA from 1 species